CCUACGGGUGGCAGCAGUGAGGAAUAUUGGUCAAUGGACGAGAGUCUGAACCAGCCAAGUAGCGUGAAGGAUGACUGCCCUAUGGGUUGUAAACUUCUUUUAUAUGGGAAUAAAACGUUCAACGUGUGGGAUUUUGUAUGUACCAUAUGAAUAAGGAUCGGCUAACUCCGUGCCAGCAGCCGCGGUAAUACGGAGGAUCCGAGGGUUAUCCGGAUUUAUUGGGUUUAAAGGGAGCGUAGGUGGAUUGUUAAGUCAGUUGUGAAAGUUUGCGGCUCAACCGUAAAAUUGCAGUUGAAACUGGCAGUCUUGAGUACAGUAGAGGUGGGCGGAAUUCGUGGUGUAGCGGUGAAAUGCUUAGAUAUCACGAAGAACUCCGAUUGCGAAGGCAGUUCACUGGACUGCAACUGACACUGAGGCUCGAAAGUGUGGGUAUCAAACAGGAUUAGAUACCCGAGUAGUC
rnacentral:rRNA from 1 species